GACGAACGCUGGCGGCGUGCUUAACACAUGCAAGUCGAGCGGAGAGGCGAACGGGUGAGUAACGCGUGAGUAACUGCCCCCCUCUCUGGGAUAACAGUUGGAAACGGCUGCUAAUACCGGAUAGUGGGGGAUGACUCGCGUCCGAUCAGCUUGUUGGUGGGGUAGUGGCCUACCAAGGCGACGACGGGUAGCCGGCCGGAGCGGGGGACCGGCCAAAUUGGGUUGAUGUACGGCCCAAACUCAUACGGGAGGCAGCAGUGGGGAAUAUUGCACAAGGGGGGAACCCCGGAUGCAGCAACGCGCGUGUUGGAGGCCGGCUUUCGGGUUGUAAGCCGCUUUCAGCCAUGACGCGGUAGUGGCAGAAGAAGCACCGGCUAACGACGUGACAGCAGCCGCGGUAAUAC
rnacentral:rRNA from 1 species